GCCGUCGUAGCUCAGCUGGAAGAGCACUGGACUUCUAAUCCAGUGGUCGCGGGUUCGAGUCCCGUCGUCGGUAC
rnacentral:tRNA from 1 species